rnacentral:rRNA from 1 species
UACGUAGGGGCCUAGCGUUGUCCGGAUUUAUUGGGCGUAAAGAGCUCGUAGGCGGUUUGGUAAGUCGGGUGUGAAAUCUCCACGCUCAACGUGGAGGGGCCACCCGAUACUGCCAUGACUGGAAUCCGGUAGGGGAGUGUGGAAUUCCCGGUGUAGCGGUGAAAUGCGCAGAUAUCAGGAGGAACACCAAUGGCGAAGGCAGCUCGCUGGGACGGUACUGACGCUGAGGCGCGAAAGCGUGGGGAGCAAACAGG